GGCUGCCAGAGGGGCCUCCAUGUAGGCCUCGCUGAAGCCUGAACUCGAGUAGGCCGGCAGGCCCCAAGCAAGCCAGGAAAGGAGGUAGGCAGAGUGGCCACCUCUGCAGCAGACCCUCUGCCCAGGCCAGCCAGCCAGCCCAGUCCUUGCCAGCAUCAACCACAAUCUCUUAUCAUCACCAUUGGGAACAGCAAACCAUCUCCGGCAAUCUGGUGAAGCAUCUUUCUUGCACUCCCCCAUAUCCAGGACAAUGAAUCAGGAAGUGACGAAGUCGGAGAAGUCUUCAGAGCACAUCUCUCUCCGUCAUCUUCAGGCCUGACUUGGAAGGCGGCUUAUUCAAGGGUCACACCAACAGCAGGUUGCUGUGGCAACAGGGCUCUGCCCCCUCCAUGCUCACAGCCAUGUCAGGAUGGCCCAUCACUCGGCUGUGAAUGAACCCCAUCAGCGCUGAGUUCUCUUCCUCUGCUACACACUCCCAUGACGUUUUGAUGGCUGGCACAGAUAGCAGAGCGCCGUAGAUGCCAAGCCUGCACACUGACUAGGUUGCACCAGGCAAGCAGGAAAAGCAAUCUCAAGGCCAUCUGCAGAACAUCUCUGGGGUGGCCCAAUAUCUUGCUCUGAUCAGGCCUGAUGCAAAUAUUUGAUGCAAACCACUUUGUGGUUUCCAGACUCCUCCAGACGCAAGGACUUGUGCAAGCCAAAUGGUGACGGGAGGACCUUUUGGUGGGUUCAUGCCUGAAGAGACACAGAGGUGCCCAAGCUGUUCUUGGCAGGGUAGCCAUUUUUCCCUUCCAUUAUUUUAUGCGCGUGUUUUUAAAUCCUUUUAGUUAGAUCUCUGUUUUUAUAUUUUAGCUUCAUAUUUUAAUUGUGUAAUUUUUAUAGCCUUGUUUUAAUUUCUCUAUGUGAACCGCCUUGGGAUUGUUUUUAAUGAAAGGCGGUAUAUAAAUUUAACAAUAAAUAACUUAGAAAUAAAUAAGGGGGAGGA